rnacentral:rRNA from 1 species
UACGUAGGGUGCGAGCGUUUGUCCGGAAUUAUUGGGCGUAAAGAGCUUGUAGGCGGUUGUCGCGUCUGCUGUGAAAAUCCGGGGCUCAACCCCGGACUUGCAGUGGGUACGGGCAGACUGGAGUGUGGUAGGGGAGAUCGAAUUCCUGGUGUAGCGGUGAAAUGCGCAGAUAUCAGGAGGAACACCGGUGGCGAAGGCGGAUCUCUGGGCCAUUACUGACGCUGAGGAGCGAAAGCGUGGGGAGCGAACAGG